rnacentral:rRNA from 1 species
UACGAAGGGGGCGAGCGUUGUUCGGAUUUACUGGGCGUAAAGGGCGCGUAGGCGGCCCUCCUUGUCGCGUGUGAAAGCCCCGGGCUCAACCUGGGAACGGCGCGCGAGACGGGGGGGCUGGAGUUCGGGAGAGGAGCGUGGAAUUCCCAGUGUAGAGGUGAAAUUCGUAGAUAUUGGGAAGAACACCGGUGGCGAAGGCGGCGCUCUGGACCGAGACUGACGCUGAGACGCGAAAGCGCGGGGAGCGAACGGG